AUUGAACGCUGGCGGCAGGCCUAACACAUGCAAGUCGAGCGGAGCGGCGGACGGGUGAGUAAUGCCUAGGAAUCUGCCUGGUAGUGGGGGAUAACGUCCGGAAACGGGCGCUAAUAUCGCAUACUAUCAGAUGAGCCUAGGUUGGUUGUGCUAGUUGGUGGGGUAAAGGCCUACCAAGGCGACGAUCCGUAACUUGUCUGAGAGGAUGAUCAGUCACACUGGAAUGGAGACACGGUCCAUACUCCGACGGGAGGCAGCAGUGGGGAAUAUUGGACAAUGGGCGAAAGCCUGAUCCCGCCAUGCCGAGUGUGUGAAGAAGGUCUUCGUAUUGUAAAGCACUUUAAGUUGGGAGGCGUUACCAACAGAAUAAGCACCGGCUAACUUCGUGCCAGCAGCCGCGGUAAUUG
rnacentral:rRNA from 1 species